rnacentral:rRNA from 1 species
GACGAACGCUGGCGGCGUGCUUAACACAUGCAAGUCGAACGGAAAGGCCUCUUUCGGGGGGUACUCGCGUGGCGAACGGGUGAGUAACACGUGAGUAACCUGCCCUUGACUUUGGGAUAACUUCAGGAAACUGGGGCUAAUACCGGAUAGGAGCUCCUGCUGCAUGGUGUGGGUUGGAAAGUUUCGGCGGUUGGGGAUGGACUCGCGGCUUAUCAGCUUGUUGGUGGGGUAGUGGCUUACCAAGGCGUUGUCGGGUAGCCGGGCUGAGAGGGGGACCGGCCACAUUGGGACUGGGAUACGGCCCAGAAUCCUACGGGGGGCAGCAGUGGGGAAUAUUGCACAAUGGGUGGAAGCCUGAUGCAGCAACGCCGGGUGCGGGAUGACGGCCUUCGGGUUGUAAACCGCUUUCGCUCAUGACGAAGCUUUGUGUGACGGUAGUGGGUAAAGAAGCACCGGCUAACUACGUG